UGGAGAGUUUGAUCCUGGCUCAGAUUGAACGCUGGCGGCAGGCCUAACACAUGCAAGUCGAGCGGGGUUUUCGGACCUAGCGGCGGACGGGUGAGUAAUGCGUAGGAAGCUACCCGAUAGAGGGGGAUACCAGUUGGAAACGACUGUUAAUACCGCAUAAUGUCUACGGACCAAAGUGUGGGACCUUCGGGCCACAUGCUAUCGGAUGCGCCUACGUGGGAUUAGCUAGUUGGUGAGGUAAUGGCUCACCAAGGCGACGAUCCCUAGCUGGUUUGAGAGGAUGAUCAGCCACACUGGAACUGAGACACGGUCCAGACUCCUACGGGAGGCAGCAGUGGGGAAUAUUGGACAAUGGGCGCAAGCCUGAUCCAGCCAUGCCGCGUGUGUGAAGAAGGCCUUCGGGUUGUAAAGCACUUUCAGUAGGGAGGAAGGGUUAAGUGUUAAUAGUACUUAACUUUGACGUUACCUACAGAAGAAGCACCGGCUAACUCUGUGCCAGCAGCCGCGGUA
rnacentral:rRNA from 1 species